UGGUAAUCUGGCAUACCGGGCAAAUGCCCGGUGGGCCGACGCACUUGGGGGCGGGGUCGCGAUAUGAUAUGAUUUUUUUUUUUUAAUAAACAUAAAAUUGGCCAAAGACCGGCCCAUAAAGCAGGGACAGCGGCCCAUUGGUUCAUUUUCCAUACUGACACUGGGCUGGCCCAAUCACAUCUCUUAACAGACUCCACCCUGUCCCCUCUGUUUCGUGUGUCAGAUGCAGUGGCUCAGACUCAGAGCCAAAACAUCUGUGGAUUAGGAGGAUGGAGAAACAAAAGCGCAAGUGCAAGGGGGGUGCGGAGAAGUUGCGGGCAAAAAAAUGAAAAAAAUUAGAGGUUGAUGCCUCAACAUGUGCAAAAAUUACUGACAUGUUUAGUACGGUUACUGUAGCUUCAGUUUCCAAACCUACAGUACCUGACGACGUGCAAAAACAGGUGAACAUAGAAGAACAUGGAAGAGACACCUGUCAGGCAGAGGAGCAGCAGGUGUCUGACAGUGAAGCCAACGAGGGACAGAGUAAGCAGGAGAGUAUAAUAGAAGCGGUAAGAAGGGUAGUUACAUGAUUAACAGGGAGGGAGGGAGCGAGGGACUCACGAUGCGACGACGACGAUGAUGAUGCUUUACCUAAAUUAAUGAAUACAACAUAAUCGUCGUCGUUAUUAUAAAGUCAGACUGUCACCUACUGCACUGUUCACUCAGUCAGCUAAAGUCAAAUAGCACAGCAAAAGCUAUUUUGCACUGUUUUUUUUUUUGUAGCUAUCAGAGUUCACUUAUGCAGUAACGGCCCUUCUCAUUAACUAGAAAAACGUGAAAUGAUGCAAUUUGAUUUUUCAAAAAAAAAAUCAGGUUAUUAUUAUAAUGUAAUAUUACUGAUGAUGUGUUUAUUCACAACGAGACUAUAGGUGUCUAUUUAUAGCCGUUAGUCGUGAUGAUGGUCUACUAGAUCUCACUUUUCAGCUAUAAAAAGUUGUUUUGUAGCUCUUGUACCCUAUUACUCUGGUAUGAACACUUGGUUGUUUAUGGCAAGUGAAUAACAUGAAUAUCAUUUUAUUAGGACGUUUUUUGUGAUUAAUUUGGUAGUAUAGUUUUCUUUUUCAUUGUUUUUAAUGGGGAGUAUCUAAACAAUGAGAGGUAAAUGUUUGACACUUAAACAGGGGUUUGUGCUCUUUAAAACAAAGUAUAGUUGUAAUUGUAAAUUAUAGUUUUUCUGCUGUCUGUUUCAUUGAAAAAAAAUGAAAAAAUCUUCAAGAUUGAUGAUCUUUGCUGUCCAUUGGUGUGCAGGCCCUACUCCACUGCCACCUUUGAUCACCAGGGAGUCAGUCAAGAGAGAGUGAGUACACUGGUCCAUUUGCACUUACUACUCAGUUUUGUAGGGGCUUUGGGGAAUGGAACAGUAGAUAUGCAUAUUUACAGGGACCGCAAGGAUGGUGUACUGGUGGGUGGUGUCUGGCCGAUUGUGGUGGGCCGGUCUGAGCAAAAAUGCCAGGGCCAUUUUUUUGUCCCAGUCCAGCCCUGGUAGGGGAGUGCCCUUUUUUUAGGUCAGAGCAACUGCCCCUCAAAAUUCCUGUGCACGUCCCUGGCAGAAACACUGUUUUGUCAUUUAGUAUCUUUGCUAAUAAAUUUCUAUUGAUCAUUUUCAGAAACAGACACUCCUGAUUUACUUCAUGUUAUUUUGGGUGGAUCUUCUCCCUCUAAACACUGUUUUAAUGAUCAGUUUCAUUCAGACUUUGAUGCUGAGAGCAUUUAAUACCUGUGCUGCAGAUUUGAUAUCAUCAUGAUACUGUAGAACAGGUCAAAGGUCAUCCGAUAGAGAAUGACCAUCUAAAUCUGGCUAAAGAUUUCAUUAUAAAACAGGUAAAUAGAAGUAGCAGAGUUUAAAUCACAUAUGUGUUUGUAAAUGUGAUCAAUGCAUUUUAGGACUGAUUAUGAUACAAAUGAUUUAAGCCUUCAUGCAACAAGUUUUUUCAUUAAAAGAUGAAUAUUUAGUGUGUGUUUUCAGCUCAAUCAUGUUGAUGUUGAGAAGAGCUGCUGUUGAGUCUCAUAUCAGUGUGUGUGAGUGUCGUUCGUCUCUUUCUCUGCUGGAGUUUGUGUUCAUUUGAGUGUGACGGAGGUUUUUGUACGACGCUUUCACUAGAAUGAAGCACUGUGGUACACUUUCGGUGGAGGAACUAAACUGACCAUCACUGGUCCCGCAGUGAAGCCCUCCGUGUCUCUGCUGCCGCCCUCUUCUCUGCAGAUCUCUGGAGACUCAGCCGCACUGCUCUGCCUGCUCAGCUCUUACUCUCCACAGGGGGCGACGGUGAGCUGGACGCUGGACGGGUCAGAGGUCAGCGAGGGGAUUCAGACCAGCGCAGAGAGCGAGCGGGACAGGACGCUACAGCCGCAGCAGCGUCCUGAGCCUCAGCAAAGCACGCUGGGAAGGCGCGGAUCGCUUCGUCUGCAGAGUAAGACAUGACGGAGCUGAUCACGAGGCCUCGUUCCUCAAGAGCUCCCAGUGCUGAUGUUUCUCCGGUCCAGACGAGCCGUAUCUGAGCGUCCGGCAGGAUUCACAGCAGUCACGUGAUUUACAGCUCAAUACUGAAGCAGUCUUUCAAUGUGCUGCCAUUGCUGUUCAUUCAAUAAAGCUUCUGAACGCGUUA